ACAGUACUCUGCUCAGCAAGGUGGCAUUCAUCUAGCUUGAUAUGUGAAUGGCGCCUUUCUGAGUAGCGUAAUGUG
rfam:Heterocephalus glaber contig89065, whole genome shotgun sequence.